AACGGCCGUACCAUGCUGAAUAUACCGGUUCUCGGUUAGAUCACCGAAGUCAAGCAUCAUUGGGCGCGGUCAGUACUUGGGUGGGUGACCACCUGGGAACAUCGCGUGCCGUU
rnacentral:rRNA from 1 species